rnacentral:rRNA from 1 species
UACGGGGGGAGCAAGCGUUGUUCGGAUUUACUGGGCGUAAAGGGCUCGUAGGCGGUCCGUCACGUCGGGAGUGAAAUCCUGGGGCUUAACCCCAGGACUGCUUCCGAUACGGGCAGACUAGAGGUAGGUAGGGGAGAAUGGAAUUCCUGGUGUAGCGGUGGAAUGCGCAGAUAUCAGGAGGAACACCAGUGGCGAAGGCGGUUCUCUGGGCCUUACCUGACGCUGAGGAGCGAAAGCGUGGGGAGCAAACAGG